rnacentral:rRNA from 1 species
CCUACGGGAGGCAGCAGUGGGGAAUAUUGGACAAUGGGCGAAAGCCUGAUCCAGCCAUGCCGCGUGUGUGAAGAAGGCCUUCGGGUUGUAAAGCACUUUCAGUGGGGAAGAAAGCCUUGGGGCUAAUACCCUCGGGGAAGGACAUCACCCACAGAAGAAGCACCGGCUAACUCCGUGCCAGCAGCCGCGGUAAUACGGAGGGUGCGAGCGUUAAUCGGAAUUACUGGACGUAAAGCGCGCGUAGGCGGUCUGAUAAGCCGGUUGUGAAAGCCCCGGGCUCAACCUGGGAACGGCAUCCGGAACUGUCAGGCUAGAGUGCAGGAGAGGAAGGUAGAAUUCCCGGUGUAGCGGUGAAAUGCGUAGAGAUCGGGAGGAAUACCAGUGGCGAAGGCGGCCUUCUGGACUGACACUGACGCUGAGGUGCGAAAGCGUGGGUAGCAAACAGGAUUAGAUACCCGAGUAGUC